GUGCAUCCCGUCACUUGACCGACUGUC
rnacentral:sRNA from 1 species